rnacentral:rRNA from 1 species
GAAUAAUAAGAAAAUUAAUAAUUAAAUUAUAAUAAAAAAAUUUUUAAUAUAAAAAUAUAUAGGGGGUUAAAGUAUUUUUAAUAGAAAAAAAUUAAUAAAUUUAUAGUUAAUUAGUAUUGUGAAAGAAUUUUGAAAUAAUUGAAAAUUAAAUUUUUAUAAAGUAAAUUUAUUUUAUUGUAUCUUGUGUAUCAGAGUUUAUUAAAAAAAAAUUAAAUAUUUUAUAUUCUCGAAUUUAAAAGGGAUAAUUAAUUAAUAAAGUUAUUGUGGCAAAAAUAUUUUUAAUAAUUAAUUUGAAAUGAAAUGUUAAUCGUUUUUAAAUAUAUCUAGUUUUUUUAGAAAAAAAUUUAAUUUUUUUUUUAUAUUAUUAAAAAAUUAAUUUAUUAAUUUUUUAAAUUAUAAAAUUUUAUAUUUUAAGGGAUAAGCUUUAAAAUAAAUAAUUAUAAUAUAUAUAUAUAUAUAUAUAUAUAUAUAUAUAAAAAUAUGAUUAAAAUUUUUAAAAUUUAUAUUGUUUAUAAAUUAUAAUUUAUUAUAAAUAAUUUUAUUAAAAAUAAAAUUUAAUGGGGGAAAUUUAAUUUUUUAUAAAAAUAGUUAAUAAUAAUUAUAAUAAUAAUGAAAUAAUGAUGAAAUUAGUAUAUAAAAAAGUAUAAAUUAAGAUUAAUUAAUAGUUAAUUUUAAAGAACUCGGCAAAUAAAUAUAUUCACUUGUUUAUCAAAAACAUGUCUUUUUGAGAAAAAAUUUAAAGUCUAAUCUGCCCACUGAUAUUUAAAAUAUUAAAGGGCUGCAGUAUAUUGACUGUACAAAGGUAGCAUAAUCAUUAGUCUCUUAAUUGGUGACUUGUAUGAAAGAUUGGAUGAAAUAUAAACUGUUUCAAAAUUAUUAAAUAGAAUUUAAUUUUUUAAUUAAAAAGUUAAAAUAAAUUUAAAAGACGAGAAGACCCUAUAGAGUUUAAUAUUUAAUUUAAUUAAAAUUAUUUAUAUAUAUAUAAAAUUAAAAUUAAAAUAAUUAUUUUAUUGGGGUGAUAGAAAAAUUUAUGUAACUUUUUUUUAAUAUAUAUAUAUAUAUAUAUAUAAACAUAAAUAAGUGAAUAAUUGAUCCAAAAUUUUUGAUUAAAAGAAAAAAUUACCUUAGGGAUAACAGCGUAAUUUUUUUUUUUAGUUCAUAUAAAAAGAAAAGUUUGCGACCUCGAUGUUGGAUUAAGAUAAAAUUUAAAUGCAAAAGUUUAAAAUUUUUGAUCUGUUCGAUCAUUAAAAUCUUACAUGAUCUGAGUUCAAACCGGUGUAAGCCAGGUUGGUUUCUAUCUUUAAAUAAAAUAAAUAUUUUAGUACGAAAGGAUUGAAUAUUUAAAUUAAAAUUUUAUUAAAGAAUAUUAUUAAUAAAUAUAA